GAAAAAUAAAAAACCAUUAGGGGCUUAAGGCAUCAGAUCUUGUCCUAGUUAGAACAACUGGGACCAGUUCAUCAUGGUAUGGGUGUAACCCAAAACUGUGUAUUCUAUAGCCUUCCAUGCCAUUUCCCAGAACUGUUAUCAAUGAACCAUUUACACCAUCUGCACAUAGAGCCUGACUCCUCAGGCUAUAAACUAGGUGCUAAGAGGCCUGCGAGAUAGGAGGUUGCUUUUGUCCUCACAACCAUUAAGGAACCCCCCGCCCUGAGGGAGGUACUGAACAUUCCUGCCUGAACUGGAGGAUAUAUAAUCUUGGAGUCUUGGGACCUUUUUAACCACUUGUGGGAUCCAGAGGAAGACUGCAGAUCACCGCUCUCAACCAGACUGCAGAUCACCACUCUCAACCAGACUGCAACCACCACUUUUCAACCAGACUGCAACCAUCACUCUCGACCGGACUGCAAUCACCACUCUUGACCAGACUGCAACAGCACUCUCACCAGCAGGUUUUUCCCUUCUCCUUUUACUUUGGACUCAGGGGGGUCAAAGAACACCACUCUGUUCAUGCCCCAGGGUGCUGGGUUAUAUAUUUGAGUUUUGUGGGUUAAAACCAAUUGUUUGUCUGUAUAAUCGUACUUAUUGUAUUAUUUUAUUAAAUUGUUAUUCUGACUUAUAA